rnacentral:rRNA from 1 species
AAAUUGAAGAGUUUGAUCAUGGCUCAGAUUGAACGCUGGCGGCAGGCCUAACACAUGCAAGUCGAACGGUAACAGGAAACAGCUUGCUGUUUCGCUGACGAGUGGCGGACGGGUGAGUAAUGUCUGGGAAACUGCCUGAUGGAGGGGGAUAACUACUGGAAACGGUAGCUAAUACCGCAUAACGUCGCAAGACCAAAGAGGGGGACUUUCGGGCCUCUUGCCAUCGGAUGUGCCCAGAUGGGAUUAGCUAGUAGGUGGGGUAACGGCUCACCUAGGCGACGAUCCCUAGCUGGUCUGAGAGGAUGACCAGCCACACUGGAACUGAGACACGGUCCAGACUCCUACGGGAGGCAGCAGUGGGGAAUAUUGCACAAUGGGCGCAAGCCUGAUGCAGCCAUGCCGCGUGUAUGAAGAAGGCCUUCGGGUUGUAAAGUACUUUCAGCG